rnacentral:lncRNA from 1 species
UUAUCUGACUGUCCAAGGAAGGGAACGAGGAAGGGAAGAAAGAAGGAAUAAAGGAAUGAAGGAAUUUCCAUCAAUAUUUUUGGGUUAAAAUCUUUGGCUUGAAUUCCAGAAAUGGCAUUAAGAAAGCUACUGAAUUGUGUGUGUGUGGUAUACCUUAGUUUAUUGAUGUUGCUCCCGCCAAAAAAAAAAGCAAACCCAAAACAAUGAAAAAGACUUGGACGCUAACCAAAAGUAGUUCUGUGGUCCCCUAUAUAUCCUGCUGCACUCCAAUUUCAACAGAUCCAAAAGUUAUUUCUCCCUACUUCUCUAUACUUUGGUUUGACUUUUAUGUCUUCACAGGGCUCUAUAUAAUGUGCUGAGUAGAAAAAUAAGACAAAUUCUGGAGAUACACACCUAAGUUUUGCAGAAGAGUAUGAACUCAGCCAAAUGAAUAUUAAUAUUACUCUGUUUCCUCAUCCAUAGGAAACGUAAUAAGCACCCCACUGGAUUGCUAGGAGAAACUAAGAUGAUGAUUGUGAAAAUUUGAUUUCUCCCACUUUCACAUAGUAGAUCUUCAAUAAGGAACAGUACCCUCAUUUACUCAUAGUCUCUAGCAAUCCUUUUUAAGUUCAAACUCACAUAAUCAACCUAGUUUAGUUCUUUGCCAUCUGUCCUGUAAGUUUUCGGGGAAAUUAUUUUAUCCUGUUUCUCUACCUUUAAAUUCAUUUUCUCUAUCUCCUAACAUACCUCUGUUCUGGCCUAAAUAAUGAUAAAAAUUCAUUCUUCAAAAAUGCUCUUCUUAUCAUGUCACUUUACUGUUUAAAAUUUAUCAGAGGGUGGUCAUUACAAUCAGAGUAGUAACUAAACUUAUGGUCAAUAUCAAGUGUCUUCUAAAUUUCAGCUAACUCUAAUUUGGCUUCCUUUCUCCCCACAUUUUGCAAUGUCAUCUUACAUGCUUCCACAUGCAUCUCCACCUUUCUACCCAACUCCACCGUGUUUAAUUCCAAUCUGUGUACUGCCUCCAUUCCAGCACCUUUCCCCAGAACAUGUAGAUUGCUCUUUUCUCAUGGUCUUGCUUUUCCAAUUCCCCACUGGUCCUGCGAAGCCUAGUUUUUACUUCCUUCAUGGUUAUUUCUUCUCAUUUCCCUCCAAUCUUGAUUGCUUCUUGCAAAAUUACUAUAGUUUUUACUAUGCUUAUGCUCAUUCAGGAAUUUAUAUAAAGCUUUAUCUUUAAUUAGUGUUCUACAUUGUUAAAUACAGUGAGUUCCAAGUUUCUCUUCAAAGAAUCAGUAUGUCAGUAUGUGAAGUUUCUUGUCCUUUGUUCUUCAUUUUAAAGUUUAAGUUCCUUGUUCUCUUUGUCUCCUUGUCCCUAGUUUCAGUAAAAAACCUUUCCACCAGUUCUAAUCAGUAGUUCACAUCUGUUUCCCUGGUCACCUGCUCCAUCCUGAGUCACCCCUCGUCACCUACUCUGACCUGAGUCACUUUUAGUUACCUGUUCUGUAACCAUCCUUCCCGUUGAAACUGCUCACCCCGCCACUCUGGCUCAUACCCCACUCUCUUUAAAACAGUCAAUCGGAAUUAGUUUAGACUGUGCGGUCCAACCCUAGCCAAUAAGGGAAUGACACAGCAGUAGGGGCUAUCUGUGUCAGAAUAAGAACCCCUUCCCCUCCCAUGUUCAGGUGUGCUCUCACCAUUGCUCCAUCCAUGAGAUG